UACGGAGGGUGCAAGCGUUAUCCGGAUUCACUGGGGUUAAAGGGUGCGUAGGUGGGUUGAUAAGUCAGUGGUGAAAUCCCCGAGCUUAACUUGGGAACUGCCAUUGAUACUAUCAGUCUUGAAUACCGUGGAGGUCAGCGGAAUAUGUCAUGUAGCGGUGAAAUGCUUAGAUAUGACAUAGAACACCAAUUGCGAAGGCAGCUGGCUACACGAAUAUUGACACUCAGGCACGAAAGCGUGGGGAUCAAACAGG
rnacentral:rRNA from 1 species